GCUGGUCGCAUUCCGAGCUAGAACGAGCUGUAGGGCGAGCAGAGGCUGUGACUCAUCCACUUUCUAACCUUUUACACUGCCAUUUACCAUAACUCCUCUGCGAAUGCACCUAUGUGGUGCUCCAGUUACUGGCAACCCUUUCCUGGGCUUCCUAACUUAUGUUGUUAAAGUCUAGCAGAGCGAGCAUUUCCCCAGUUUCAUUCACAACGUUUGGUACCAAGCCGAAGAUCAGACCUAAGAAGUUCUUGGGGAAAAGAUUGGCAGAAGCCCCUCUGCACUGUGUGCCGAGCCUCUCCUCCGAGGGACUAGGACCCGAGGCGGACUGAGCUGUUGGAAGGGACCUCUUUGAAAGACCUCGCCAAAGGCUAAAGACCAGAAGACUCACUGAGGCCAAGGUGAGUGACAUAGAAGACCGUCUCCAAAAGCCACGGUGUGGGUGAAUGACAACAGGAUCAUUUCAACAGCCAUUCCGCCCUUCCAAGCCCGUCCUCACCUUCACCUGAUCAUCGCGGAUGUAGUCUAGACUGUCUGUCUGUUUCAUUUUUAUAUCUAUUUGUUUUUAAAUUCAAUGAUUACAGGUGUUUACUGGAGGAAUUUUUUAACAUAGAGAAUCACAAUUAAAACCACCGU